GAUGAACGCUAGCGGGAGGCCUAACACAUGCAAGCCGAGCGGUAUUUGUUCUUCGGAACAGAGAGAGCGGCGCACGGGUGCGGAACACGUGUGCAACCUGCCUUUAUCUGGGGGAUAGCCUUUCGAAAGGAAGAUUAAUACCCCAUAAUAUAUUGAGUGGCAUCACUUGAUAUUGAAAACUCCGGUGGAUAGAGAUGGGCACGCGCAAGAUUAGAUAGUUGGUGAGGUAACGGCUCACCAAGUCAAUGAUCUUUAGGGGGCCUGAGGGGGUGAUCCCCCACACUGGUACUGAGACACGGACCAGACUCCUACGGGAGGCAGCAGUGAGGAAUAUUGGACAAUGGGUUAGCGCCUGAUCCAGCCAUCCCGCGUGAAGGACGACGGCCCUAUGGGUUGUAAACUUCUUUUGUAUAGGGAUAAGCCUACUCUCGUGAGAGUAGCUGAAGGUACUAUACGAAUAAGCACCGGCUAACUCCGUG
rnacentral:rRNA from 1 species